rnacentral:rRNA from 1 species
GACGAACGCUGGCGGCGUGCUUAACACAUGCAAGUCGAACGCUGAAGAUCUGGCUUUUGUUGGGUUGGUUGAGUGGCGAACGGGUGAGUAACACGUGAUUAACCUGCCCUCUUCUUUGGGAUAACGUCCGGUAACGGGUGCUAAUACUGGCUAUUCGCUGAUCUUCGCAUUGGGGUUGGUGGAAAGGUUUGUUCUGGUUGUGGAUGGGCUCGCGGCCUAUCAGCUUGUUGGUGGGGUGAUGGCCUACCAAGGCUUUGACGGGUAGCCGGACUGAGAGGGUGAACGGUGACAUUGGGACUGAGAUACGGCCCAGACUCCUACGGAAGGCAGCAGUGGGGAAUAUUGCAAAAUGGGCGAAAGCCGGAUGCAGCGACCCCGAGUGAGGGUUGGAGGCCUUCGAGUUGUAAAGCUCUUUCGGUCAAGGUCACGACGAAAAUGAGGGUUGUCGUGAGGGUAGUGAGUAAAGAAGCGAAGGCUAACUACGUG